CAUUGGACACUGCACUUCAAGCCCCGCCUCUUUUUGGUAGGGGUUGAGUUGUCCUCUGUUGGAGUUCGCCGUAAACAAACUUGACCGGUCGCAAGCUAAAAUGAUCAAUUGGAAGGCUUUGGACAACGUACCCGUACUCUUGUACAUUUUAGCUCUGAAGACAUUAAUCCUGUGUUUGGGCUUUGCUGGGGUGAAGAUCUACCAGAGUAAGAAAGCAGAGGCAGCGCUCAAGCAGCAGCAGGCCGAGAGGAGGAAGUUGGCCCAGAGGACACAGGAGCUUAUUGAUCAUUUGAAGGAAGACUGAGAUGAGCUGCUAAAUGCUGUACCACAUAUGACCAGUAGGCCGAGGGCAACAAGGGCCGAGCAGAACGUCACGUGAGCCGACCGCAACAUGAAUUGCCGACCGCACCUGUUUUGUUGCUGUGUCCGACCAGAAAUUGCACAACACAAUGUAUUUAUUGAAUUUUGUAACAUGUAUCUUUUAAAAUGAAAUGGAUAAAAUAUUGUUCAACACAGUAUUAAAGAUGGCUGCGUAUUUUC